rnacentral:rRNA from 1 species
CACGUAGGGUGCAAGCGUUGUCCGGAAUCAUUGGGCGUAAAGAGCUCGUAGGCGGCUUAGUAAGUCGGGUGUGAAACCCCAGGCUCAACCUGGGACGCCACCCGAUACUGCUAUAGCUAGAGUCCAGUAGGGAGUGUGGAAUUCCCAGUGUAGCGGUGAAAUGCGCAGAGAUUGGGUGGAACACCAGUGGCGAAGGCGCCUGCCUGGCUGAUUACUGACGCUGAGACUCGAAAGCAUGGGGAGCAAACAGG